UACGGGGGGAGCAAGCGUUGUUCGGAUUUACUGGGCGUAAGGGGCGCGUAGGCGGCGUGACAAGUCACUUGUGAAAUCUCCGGGCUUAACUCGGAACGGUCAAGUGAUACUGUCGUGCUAGAGUACAGAAGGGGCAACUGGAAUUCUCGGUGUAGCGGUGAAAUGCGUAGAGAUCAGGAAGAACACCAGUGGCGAAGGCGCUCUGCUAGGCCGUAACUGACACUGAGGGACGAAAGCUAGGGGAGCGAAUGGG
rnacentral:rRNA from 1 species